GCCAUACAUAGCCUGAGCCUGUCAUGUUGAGGAAGCGUGCUGUUUUGUACACGGCGGCUGCAUCUUCCUCACUAAAGGCAGACAGACAGUGUUCUAAGGCCUGUCCUGCUGAAAAGACCAACUGGUUAGUGCUAGUCUUGUGCUGGUCGACCAGCAAAGCAGCAGGUUAUAAUACAGUGAAGAGUGAAGUGCAGAGAUUUUGGUGGACUGCUAAGAUAACAUCAUGCAGUAAACCUCUUACCUGGCAGAGA